UUGGGGCCCCCCCUAUGGGGCUCCGCGCCCCACCUCUUUUUUUUUAACCCAUAAAUGCCCUACGGAACUUAAACUUCCGUAUUCUAUAAAAUAGAAUACGGAAGUUAAAAUUCCGUAUUAUAACUCUGACAGUCAUCACCUUUUCCACCAUUACUCCUCCCUCCACCAACCCCUCCACCAUUACUCCUCCGUCACCAACCCCUCACCAGCCCCCUUAACCCCCUCAAUGCCUCCAGACCACCCUCUCUCUCACCCUCUCCUACCUCACUUUCAUCCUCACUUCCAUUCUUCCUACCACCACCACCAACUCCUUCAUUGGCAAGCUCUCCACCAUUGGAUGCAAAAAGAUAGCAUUUGAGGGAUGACAGAAUCAUUUUUAUUUCAUGAAUCCCAAUUGAUUGAAGUUGGAUUGAACAAUGCUCAACCUGAAGAGGUGCCACCACCAGCAUUUGUACCCCCGUGUAUAAGUAUAGAUGUCUCGCAUUUAUUUACAACUGAUCAGAUUUUCCCUACCCGUGAUGAUCUUAUCAAUUGGGUUCAUGGAAUUGCGAUUGAAAAUGGAUAUGUUGUGUUGAUCACAAAGUCAGAUAGCGGUGGGAAUGGAAGCAGAAAAGCUUAUGUCAUGUUGGGGUGCGAGAAGCAUGGUAAGUAUGUUCCCUACAGAGACCCUGACCUUGUUGAAGGAACGAGAACACAAA